rnacentral:lncRNA from 1 species
GCAAAGUAGUCCUUUGACCUGAGGCAUCAUAGUUUUCUUGUGGUUAAGACCUUGAUCUUUGAUUAUGUCAAAGUCAUCCCACCAGGAGGGUGUCCACGGCAUCGUUGGGGUCAAGCCGCUUAGCUAUGGAGACAAGUGAAUGCGCAACAAGGGAUCUCUAACCUUCAAACCGUUUGAGGGAGAAUACUCUAUGAUAUGAUUUGAAUCUUUGGCCAAAGUAUGAAUGAGAUUAGGGAAUGCGUUCCGAAUCACAUUCAAGGUAAUCA